rnacentral:rRNA from 1 species
CGAUUGAGUUUGAUCCUGGCUCAGGACGAACGCUGGCGGCGUGCCUAAUACAUGCAAGUCGAGCGAGCUUGCCUAGAUGAUUUUAGUGCUUGCACUAAAUGAAACUAGAUACAAGCGAGCGGCGGACGGGUGAGUAACACGUGGGUAACCUGCCCAAGAGACUGGGAUAACACCUGGAAACAGAUGCUAAUACCGGAUAACAACACUAGACGCAUGUCUAGAGUUUGAAAGAUGGUUCUGCUAUCACUCUUGGAUGGACCUGCGGUGCAUUAGCUAGUUGGUAAGGUAACGGCUUACCAAGGCAAUGAUGCAUAGCCGAGUUGAGGGACUGAUCGGCCACAUUGGGACUGAGACACGGCCCAAACUCCUACGGGAGGCAGCAGUAGGGAAUCUUCCACAAUGGACGAAAGUCUGAUGGAGCAACGCCGCGUGAGUGAAGAAGGGUUUCGGCUCGUAAAGCUCUGUUGGUAGUGAAGAAAGAUAGAGGUAGUAACUGGCCUUUAUUUGACGGUAAUUACUUAGAAAGUCACGGCUAACUACGUGCCAGCAGCCGCGGUAAUACGUAGGUGGCAAGCGUUGUCCGGAUUUAUUGGGCGUAAAGCGAGUGCANGCGGUUCAAUAAGUCUGAUGUGAAAGCCUUCGGCUCAACCGGAGAAUUGCAUCAGAAACUGUUGAACUUGAGUGCAGAAGAGGAGAGUGGAACUCCAUGUGUAGCGGUGGAAUGCGUANAUAUAUGGAAAGAACACAGUG